CAACUAAAGAUGGCGACCGGCGCACGGGUGAGUAACACGUAUCCAACCUGCCGAUAACUCGGGGAUAGCCUUUCGAAAGAAAGAUUAAUAUCCGAUAGUAUAUUAAAACCGCAUGGUUUUACUAUUAAAGAAUUUCGGUUAUCGAUGGGGAUGCGUUCCAUUAGUUUGUUGGCGGGGUAACGGCCCACCAAGACUACGAUGGAUAGGGGUUCUGAGAGGAAGGUCCCCCACAUUGGAACUGAGACACGGUCCAA
rnacentral:rRNA from 1 species